UACGGAGGAUGCGAGCGUUAUCCGGAUUUAUUGGGUUUAAAGGGAAGCGUAGGCGGGUUGUUAAGUCAGUUGUGAAAGUUUGCGGCUCAACCGUAAAAUUGCAGUUGAUACUGGCAUCCUUGAGUACAGUAGAGGUAGGCGGAAUUCGUGGGUGUAGCGGUGAAAAUGCUUAGAUAUCACGAAGAACUCCGAUUGCGAAGGCAGCCUGCUGGACUGUAACUGACGCUGAUGCUCGAAGUGUGGUGAUCAAACAGG
rnacentral:rRNA from 1 species